AAGCUAACGCGUUAAGUGUUCCGCCUGGGGAGUACGGUCGCAAGAUUAAAAACUCAAAGAAAUUGACGGGGGGCCCGCACAAGCGGUGGAGCAUGUGGUUUAAUUCGACGCAACGCGAAAAACCUUACCUGGGUUUGACAUCCUCUGAUCAUUAUAGAAAUAUAAUCUUUCCGUAAGGAACAGAGAGACAGGUGCUGCAUGGCUGUCGUCAGCUCGUGUCGUGAGAUGUUGGGUUAAGUCCCGCAACGAGCGCAACCCUUAUCUUUAGUUGCCAUCAUUAAGUUGGGCACUCUAGAGAAACUGCCGGUGAUAAAUCGGAUGAAGGUGGGGAUGACGUCAAAGUCCUCAUGGCCUUUAUAUCCAGGGCUACACACGUGCUACAAUGGUUUGGACAAAGAGACGCAAGUUUGCGAAAACAAGCAAAUCUCAUAAACCAAAUCUCAGUUCGGAUUGAAGUCUGCAACUCGACUUCAUGAAGUCGGAAUCGCUAGUAAUCG
rnacentral:rRNA from 1 species